CCUACGGGAGGCAGCAGUGAGGAAUAUUGGUCAAUGGACGAGAGUCUGAACCAGCCAAGUAGCGUGAAGGAUGACUGCCCUAUGGGUUGUAAACUUCUUUUAUAUGGGAAUAAAAUGUUCCAAGUGUGGGAUUUUGUAUGUACCAUAUGAAUAAGGAUCGGCUAACUCAGUGCCAGCAGCCGAGGUAAUACGGAGGGUCCGAUCGUUAUCCGGAUUUAUUUGGUUUAAAGGGUGCGUAGGUGGAUUGUUAAGUCAGUUGUGAAAGUUUGCGGCUCAACUGUAAAAUUGCAGUUGAAACUGGCAGUCUUGAGUACAGUAGAGGUGGGCGGAAGUCCUGGUGUAGCGGUGAAAUGCGUAGAUAUCAGGAGGAACACCGGUGGCGAAGGCGGCCUGCGGGACUGCAACUGACGUUGAGGCCCGAAAGCGUGGGGAGCAAACAGGAUUAGAUACCCCAGUAGUC
rnacentral:rRNA from 1 species